UGAUUCUGACAGCGAGGAGACUGGUGUGGUGCUGUGCCAGCAGCCUGUGCAGCUGGCACUCGAAUCGGAUAAUGAGGAGGCUGGAGAAGAUGUGGUGCCAGAGGCGGGGAUUCAGCCAGGGCCUUCAGAACCUUCAGAAGCUCCAUAAGUGAAGAGGAAGAACAGGAGAAGCCUCUUCUCGAUGCACAGGGAGAUGGAAAGUCAACUCUCUGCCAAAACAGACAUAUAUAUGAUGGACCAUUAAAGGCAAAUGUGGAAUACAGAAGCAAAACUGAAGAACAGUCUGACAUACAGAACAUCCCUGGCUCAAAACCAACUAUCCUUCCUUCUAUCAUUAGUACUAUUUUUCUUUUCUCUUGUGCGUCUUUUUAAAAAAAUAGAAUUAAAUAAUUCCACCAAC